CUCUCUCUGACAUAUACGUAUAUCAAUAUAUAUGGUGUGCGUUAAUAGUAGUUUUUCACCGAAUUUUGAGAAAAGAGUGGUCGGCCUGUGAAUCUGCGAGAGGAGUUCAGACGAAAUUUGACUAGUUUGACUGGCUCUGACGGCGACAGUGGCUGUUGCUGACAGAUCUGGUCAGAAAAUUAAAAAAAAAAGGUGAAUUCGGUUGUUGGCGGCACUGUUGGUAUUGUUGGUUGGCUGGCAACGGCAAAGGGGAGGGGAAAUUUGGUCGGCGAUAAAUUUGGAAAGGUCGCUUCUGGCCAUUUUGUUGGUUUUUCAGCGGUUUGGUGGUGAUUCCGGAGAGAUAGAUGCGUUGAAAAGCUUCGUUACGAGGGAAGGUGGAUUUUUUUAUGGAAUAUCUAGCAAGUUUUCGACGAGAUUCAAAAUUUUCCGACGAUUUCUUGUCAGAAAAAUGAACUUUUCAUUUUAUUUUUCAUUCUUUCUCUCUGUUAUUUCUUCUACUUUUGUGUCUCUGUUUCUCCCCUUUUUUGAUUUUUCACUGUUUCUUCUUUGUUUUCGUCUAUUAUUAGCUCACUGUAUGUGUUGUAACACUGUGAAAUAAUUUUCAUUCAUUAAUGUUAAAAGAAAAUGGAAUAUACAUAGGCAAAAAAAAAA
rnacentral:lncRNA from 1 species